rnacentral:rRNA from 1 species
AUUGAACGCUGGCGGCAUGCCUUACACAUGCAAGUCGAACGGUAACGGGCCUUCGGGUGCCGACGAGUGGCGAACGGGUGAGUAAUGCAUCGGAACGUACCCAAGAGUGGGGGAUAACGUAGCGAAAGUUACGCUAAUACCGCAUACGAUCUAAGGAUGAAAGCAGGGGAUCGCAAGACCUUGUGCUCCUGGAGCAGCCGAUAUCUGAUUAGCUAGUUGGUGGGGUAAAGGCCCACCAAGGCAACGAUCAGUAGCUGGUCUGAGAGGACGACCAGCCACACUGGAACUGAGACACGGUCCAGACUCCUACGGGAGGCAGCAGUGGGGAAUUUUGGACAGUGGGGGCAACCCUGAUCCAGCAAUGCCGCGUGAGUGAAGAAGGCCUUCGGGUUGUAAAGCUCUUUUGUCAGGGAAGAAAAGGCUGUGGCUAAUAUCCACGGCUCAUGACGGUACCUGAAGAAUAAGCACCGGCUAACUACGUGCCAGCAGCCGCGGUAAAAC